rnacentral:rRNA from 1 species
GAUGAACGCUGGCGGCGUGCCUAAUACAUGCAAGUCGAGCGAACGGACGAGAAGCUUGCUUCUCUGAUGUUAGCGGCGGACGGGUGAGUAACACGUGGAUAACCUACCUAUAAGACUGGGAUAACUUCGGGAAACCGGAGCUAAUACCGGAUAAUAUUUUGAACCGCAUGGUUCAAAAGUGAAAGACGGUCUUGCUGUCACUUAUAGAUGGAUCCGCGCUGCAUUAGCUAGUUGGUAAGGUAACGGCUUACCAAGGCAACGAUGCAUAGCCGACCUGAGAGGGUGAUCGGCCACACUGGAACUGAGACACGGUCCAGACUCCUACGGGAGGCAGCAGUAGGGAAUCUUCCGCAAUGGGCGAAAGCCUGACGGAGCAACGCCGCGUGAGUGAUGAAGGUCUUCGGAUCGUANAACUCUGUUAUUAGGGAAGAACAUAUGUGUAAGUAACUGUGCACAUCUUGACGGUACCUAAUCAGAAAGCCACGGCUAACUACGUGCCAGCAGCCGCGGUAAUACGUAGGUGGCAAGCGUUAUCCGGAAUUAUUGGGCGUAAAGUGCGCGUAGGCGGUUUUUUAGUCUGAUGUGAAAGCCCGCGGCUCACCCGUGGAGGGGCAUUGGAAACUGGAAAACUUGAGUGCAGAAGAGGAAAGUGGAAUUCCCUGUGUAGCGGUGAAAUGCGCAGAGAUAUGGAGGAACACCAGUGGCGAAGGUGACUUUCUGGUCUGUAACUGACGCUGAUGUGCGAAAGCGUGGGGAUCAAACAGGAUUAGAUACCCUGGUAGUCCACGCCGUAAACGAUGAGUGCUAAGUGUUAGGGGGUUUCCGCCCCUUAGUGCUGCAGCUAACGCAUUAAGCACUCCGCCUGGGGAGUACGACCGCAAGGUUGAAACUCAAAGGAAUUGACGGGGACCCGCACAAGCGGUGGAGCAUGUGGUUUAAUUCGAAGCAACGCGAAGAACCUUACCAAAUCUUGACAUCCUUUGACAACUCUAGAGAUAGAGCUUUCCCCUUCGGGGGACAAAGUGACAGGUGGUGCAUGGUUGUCGUCAGCUCGUGUCGUGAGAUGUUGGGUUAAGUCCCGCAACGAGCGCAACCCUUAAGCUUAGUUGCCAUCAUUAAGUUGGGCACUCUAAGUUGACUGCCGGUGACAAACCGGAGGAAGGUGGGGAUGACGUCAAAUCAUCAUGCCCCUUAUGAUUUGGGCUACACACGUGCUACAAUGGACAAUACAAAGGGCAGCGAAACCGUGAGGUCAAGCAAAUCCCAUAAAGUUGUUCUCAGUUCGGAUUGUAGUCUGCAACUCGACUACAUGAAGCUGGAAUCGCUGGUAAUCGUAGAUCAGCAUGCUACGGUGAAUACGUUCCCGGGUCU